AAUACAUGCAAGUCGAGCGGACAGAAGGGAGCUUGCUCCCGGACGUUAGCGGCGGACGGGUGAGUAACACGUGGGCAACCUGCCCCUUAGACUGGGAUAACUCCGGGAAACCGGAGCUAAUACCGGAUAAUCCCUUUCUCCACCUGGAGAGAGGGUGAAAGAUGGCUUCGGCUAUCACUAGGGGAUGGGCCCGCGGCGCAUUAGCUAGUUGGUAAGGUAACGGCUUACCAAGGCGACGAUGCGUAGCCGACCUGAGAGGGUGAUCGGCCACACUGGGACUGAGACACGGCCCAGACUCCUACGGGAGGCAGCAGUAGGGAAUCUUCCGCAAUGGACGAAAGUCUGACGGAGCAACGCCGCGUGAGUGAGGAAGGCCUUCGGGUCGUAAAGCUCUGUUGUGAGGGAAGAAGCGGUACCGUUCGAAUAGGGCGGUACCUUGACGGUACCUCACCAGAAAGCCACGGCUAACUACGUGCCAGCAGCCGCGGUAAUACGUAGGUGGCAAGCGUUGUCCGGAAUUAUUGGGCGUAAAGCGCGCGCAGGCGGCUUCUUAAGUCUGAUGUGAAAUCUCGGGGCUCAACCCCGAGCGGCCAUUGGAAACUGGGGAGCUUGAGUGCAUAAGAGGAGAGUGGAAUUCCACGUGUAGCGGUGAAAUGCGUAGAGAUGUGGAGGAACACCAGUGGCGAAGGCGACUCUCUGGUCUGUAACUGACGCUGAGGCGCGAAA
rnacentral:rRNA from 3 species